rnacentral:rRNA from 1 species
UACGAAGGGGGCUAGCGUUGCUCGGAAUCACUGGGCGUAAAGGGUGCGUAGGCGGGUCUUUAAGUCAGGGGUGAAAUCCUGGAGCUCAACUCCAGAACUGCCUUUGAUACUGAAGAUCUUGAGUUCGGGAGAGGUGAGUGGAACUGCGAGUGUAGAGGUGAAAUUCGUAGAUAUUCGCAAGAACACCAGUGGCGAAGGCGGCUCACUGGCCCGAUACUGACGCUGAGGCACGAAAGCUGGGGGAGCAAACAGG